rnacentral:lncRNA from 1 species
GGCCACUGCACUCCAGCCUGGGGGACAGAGCAAGACUCCGUCUCAAAAAAGAAAAAAGAAAAAAGAAUAAUAAUAAAUAAAAAACAUUAUGCUAAGCAAAAUAAGACUGACACAGAAGGACGAGUAUUAUAUGAUUCCACUUACACAAAAUGCCUAUAAUAGGUAAAUUCAUUAGACAAUUAGAAAGUGUAUCAGAGGAGGUUGGGGGGAUGCUGAGGGAAGGGGAAAAGAAAAAAGAAAAUCAAGGUGUGGGAAGCAAAUGGCUGCAGGGUAGAAGGGGAGUGGGCUGCCGCUUGGGUGUGUGGGUGUCAGGGGGAGACAGGACAGGAGAGUCAGGUCCUGCGCACAGGGGCCUCUGCGCUCCCGCGGGACGCAGCUGUGUUUGUCUGGGGUAGCGGCAGCGUGGCAGGAGCGAGGGGCGCCCCGACCCGUCCCCUCCGCCCUCCAAGACCCCUGCCGCCUCCAGCCCGUCCCUGUCUCACCCUCUUUAUUUAACAAAGAGCGGAGAGACUGUAAAUGACCCUGAGCAGCGUCGCGGCGAGCAGGGCCCCUGGGGCACCCCACAGGCGACAUGCUGGCCGCGUGAGCGCCGAGCUCGGGCACCGGGUGGUUUGGCGUGCUUGUGCACUUGCUCCGUUUUCUCUGUGUUUGUCAACCUGUUCCGGCUCUUCCCAACUCUGGCAGUGGCUAUGGCCUAACAGCUGGUGGCAGGAACAGGGCUGUGACAAGAAUCAGCAACUGCAUGGGGCCUCAUCAAUUUCCAGAAGAGGACAGGACAUGCUCAAGAUGCCCCAAAGAGAAAGGACAAAGGAGAGGAAUUCUGAGAUGCAAGUCCCUAUGGAGGAGGGGACAGAGUUAAAUUCCAACAGUCCAACAGACUACGGCUAGAGUAACAGUCUUCUCUUACCUGUACCUUUAACGCUCAGCUUGCCAUUUGUUCCUUAGUAUCUGCUGUUAGUGACGUUCCUUUCAGAAACAAGAAAACAAACGUCUUUUCCUGCUGAAGUUUUUGACUUACUUCUUUCUCUCCUUUGCACCAUCAAGUAUUUGAGCAGUGGAUACCCUUGCCUCCAUUUCCUCACCCACUAUGCCCUCCUCUCCUGCUGCAAACUGGCUUCCCCACAUCACUCUUCUGAAAUUCUGCUCCCCAAACAUACUCAUUCCAGUGAAAUUGUCUUCCCCAGAAUUACUUUGGUGUCUGACAGGACUGGGUGAAGGGGUAAAAAAACUAUUAAGAUUGGCUGGGUGCAGUGGUUCACACCUGUAAUCCCAGCAGUUUAGGAGGCCGAGACAGGUGGAUCACCUGAGGUCAGAAGUUCGAGACCAGCCUGGUCAACAUGGUGAAACCCCAUCUCUACUAAAAAUACAAAAAUUAGCCAGGUGUGGUGCGCACCUGUAAUCACAGCUACUCAGGAGGCUGAGGCAGGAGAAUCGCUUGGAACCAGGGAGGCGGAGGUUGCA